rnacentral:misc_RNA from 1 species
UUUCCGUAGGUGAACCUGCGGAAGGAUCAUUAAUAAAUUUUUUUUGAAAUAAAAAAAAAAUAAUAAUCAUCCUACCCUUUGUGAAUUUGUUUUGUUGAAUAAUUUUUUAAAAUUAUUUAUUGUCUAUCCAAGUUGGAAAGUUGUAAAAGACUGAAGACUUGGAGCGGCAUAAAUAAAUUUAAAGACUUUUUUCUAAAAUUAAACUUUUUGUAUUCAUUUGUCUAAAAUAAUUUUUAUAAUAUAUAAAAACAACUUUUGACAAUGGAUCUCUUGGUUCUCGCAACGAUGAAGAACGCAGCAAAAUGCGAUAAGUAAUGUGAAUUGCAGAAUACGUGAAUCAUCGAAUCUUCGAACGCAUAUUGCACUUUUUUAGUUUACUAAAAAAGUAUGUCUGUUUGAGUAUCAGUAAAAUAUUCUCAUACAAUUUUUAAUUUUAUGGUUAUGAGUGUUUACAACGAUAAACAAGUGUUUCACUUUAAAUUGAAUUUUUGAAGAAAUUCUUUAAUUCAAAUUAAAUUUGGAUAAAAUUUUCCCGUAAAAAGGAAUAACUAUACAAGUUUAAUAAGAAUUUGGAUUUCUUUUAUAAAAGGAAAUUUAUUAAAUAACUUGAUCUCAAAUCAGAUAAGAGUACCCGCUGAACUUAAGCAUAUCAAUAAGCGGAGGAAAAGAAACUAACAAGGAUUCCCCUAGUAACGGCGAGUGAAGCGGGAAGAGCUCAAAUUUGAAAUCUUAAAGGGUUUCCCUUUACGAAUUGUAGUUUAAAGAAGUGUUUUCUGUUGAGGUUUUGGUAAAAGUUCUUUGGAAUAGGACAUCAUAGAGGGUGAGAAUCCCGUAUUUGACCUUUACUUUCAACUUUGUGAUACACUUUCAAAGAGUCGGAUUGUUUGGGAAUGCAGUCCAAAAUGGGUGGUAAAUUUCAUCUAAAGCUAAAUAUUGGCGAGAGACCGAUAGCGAACAAGUACCGUGAGGGAAAGAUGAAAAGAACUUUGAAAAGAGAGUUAAACAGUACGUGAAAUUGUCAAAAGGGAAGCGUUUGACACCAGUGUUGUUUUUCUGAAAAUCAAUUAAAGAACUGUUUAUGCUAAGUUGUUUAGACUUUAUCAGCUAACUGUUUAGUUUUGAGCUUUUCUUUAAUGCACUUUUCAGUUAACAAGUCAACAUCAAUUUCUUUUGCUGUAAAAAAGCUUGAGGAAGGUGGCUUGAGAUUCGUCUUAAGUGUUUAUAGCCUCUUGCCUAUGCAGUCGGAGAGAUUGAGGUCUGCAGCGUAGAUCCUUCGGGGCUAAAUGCAUUUGUGCUAAGUUAUAGCAUUUUAUAGACAACUUGUUGACUAUGAUUUGUCUUGUAGCUUACUCGCUUAUGUUACUUUACCUACGCUUAGGAUGUUG